UCGAAAGGGAUGCUAAUACCGCAUACGUCCUACGGGAGAAAGCAGGGGAUCACUUGUGACCUUGCGCUAAUAGAUGAGCCUAAGUCGGAUUAGCUAGUUGGUGGGGUAAAGGCCUACCAAGGCGACGAUCUGUAGCGGGUCUGAGAGGAUGAUCCGCCACACUGGGACUGAGACACGGCCCAGACUCCUACGGGAGGCAGCAGUGGGGAAUAUUGGACAAUGGGGGGAACCCUGAUCCAGCCAUGCCGCGUGUGUGAAGAAGGCCUUAUGGUUGUAAAGCACUUUAAGCGAGGAGGAGGCUCUUUUGGUUAAUACCCAAGAUGAGUGGACGUUACUCGCAGAAUAAGCACCGGCUAACUCUGUGCCAGCAGCCGCGGUAAUACAGAGGGUGCAAGCGUUAAUCGGAUUUACUGGGCGUAAAGCGCGCGUAGGCGGCCAAUUAAGUCAAAUGUGAAAUCCCCCGAGCUUAACUUGGGAAUUUGCAUUCGAUACUGGUUGGCUAGAGUGUGGGAGAGGAUGGUAGAAUUCCAGUGUAGCGGUGAAAUGCGUAGAGAUCUGGGAGAAUAACCGAUGGCGAACGCAGCCAUCUGGCCUAACACUGACGCUGAGGUGGCGAAAGCUUGGGGAGCAAACAGGAUUAGAUACCCUGGGUAAUCCAUGCCGAAACGAUGUCUACAAGCCGUU
rnacentral:rRNA from 1 species